GAUGAAGAACGUAGCGAAAUGCGAUAAGUAGUGUGAAUUGCAGAAUUCCGUGAAUCAUCGAAUCUUUGAACGCACAUUGCGCCCGUCAGUAUUCUGGCGGGCAUGCCUGUUCGAGCGUCAUUACGCCCCUCAAGUCCCCUGUGGACUUGGUGUUGGGGAUCGGCGAGGCUGGUUUUCCAGCACAGCCGUCCCUUAAAUUAAUUGGCGGUCUCGCCGUGGCCCUCCUCUGCGCAGUAGUAAAACACUCGCAACAGGAGCCCGGCGCGGUCCACUGCCGUAAAACCCCCCAACUUUUUAUAGUUGACCUCGAAUCAGGUAGGACUACCCGCUGAACUUAAGCAUAUCAAUAAGCGGAGGA
rnacentral:misc_RNA from 1 species